rnacentral:rRNA from 1 species
AACGAACGCUGGCGGCAUGCCUAACACAUGCAAGUCGAACGAGACCUUCGGGUCUAGUGGCGCACGGGUGCGUAACGCGUGGGAAUCUGCCCUUAGGUUCGGAAUAACUCAGGGAAACUUGAGCUAAUACCGGAUAAUGACUUCGGUCCAAAGAUUUAUCGCCUAGGGAUGAGCCCGCGUCGGAUUAGCUAGUUGGUGAGGUAAAAGCUCACCAAGGCGACGAUCCGUAGCUGGCUGAGAGGAUGAUCAGCCACACUGGGACUGAGACACGGCCCAGACUCCUACGGGAGGCAGCAGUGGGGAAUUUUGGACAAUGGGGGCGAACCCUGAUCCAGCCAUGCCGCGUGUGUGAAGAAGGCC